GCGCUCGUAGCUCAGGGGAUAGAGCAUCGGUUUCCUAAAUCGAGGGUCGUUGGUUCGAUUCCAACCGGGCGCA
rnacentral:tRNA from 3 species